GCCAUAAUCAUAUAGUGGUCAUUAUAUCAGUUUGUGGACCAAAGAGAAACACUGAAAACCGAGGUUCGAUUCCUCGUUAUGGCA
rnacentral:tRNA from 1 species